UACGAAGGGGGCUAGCGUUGUUCGGAAUUACUGGGCGUAAAGCGCGCGCAGGCGGUUCUUCAAGUCAGAGGUGAAAGCCCAGAGCUCAACUCUGGAAUGGCCUUUGAGACUAGAGAACUAGGGUACGGGAGAGGUGAGUGGAAUUCCGAGUGUAGAGGUGAAAUUCGUAGAUAUUCGGAAGAACACCAGUGGCGAAGGCGGGUCUCUGGGCCGAUACUGACGCUGAGGAGCGAAAGCGUGGGGAGCGAACAGG
rnacentral:rRNA from 1 species